UUGACAGCUGCCCGAAGGGGUUUAUUUGUAGUGCGCUCCAAGCAAACGUAGUUUAGCUCUCAAUUGAAUACUAACCAAUCGAACUCAAUGAAAUUAUUAUGUUUUAGG